UACGGGGGGGGUAAGCGUUGUUCGGAAUUACUGGGCGUAAAGGGCUCGUAGGCGGCCAACUAAGUCAGACGUGAAAUCCCUCAGCUUAACUGGGGAACUGCGUCUGAUACUGGAUGGCUUGGAUUCGGGAGAGGAAUGCGGAAUUCCAGGUGUAGCGGUGAAAUGCGUAGAUAUCUGGAGGAACACCGGUGGCGAAGGCGGCAUCCUGGACCGGCAUUGACGCUGAGGAGCGAAAGCCAGGGGAGCAAAGCGGG
rnacentral:rRNA from 1 species